rnacentral:rRNA from 1 species
UACGGAGGAUGCAAGCGUUAUCCGGAUUCACUGGGUUUAAAGGGUGCGUAGGCGGGCUUAUAAGUCAGUGGUGAAAUCUCUGGGCUUAACUCAGAAACUGCCAUUGAUACUAUAAGUCUUGAAUAUAGAUGAGGUUGGCGGAAUAUGUCAUGUAGCGGUGAAAUGCUUAGAUAUGACAUAGAACACCGAUUGCGAAGGCAGCUAACUAAACUAUAAUUGACGCUGAGGCACGAAAGCGUGGGGAUCAAAC